rnacentral:sRNA from 1 species
GAAUGUCAUGUAUGUGGCUUCCACAUGUCUCUCCCCACAACUCCAAGCUUAAUUUGGCUGCUCUGGCUAAGCAGGUUUCUGUUUCCUCUAUCACUGGCCACACAUCUCCUUUCUGCAUCUGUUACUUUGUCAAAGGGGAUGUUCUUCCCAAACAUUGGGGAACUUUUUUCUGCAAACUAUAUAAUGAGCAGUUAGGCUGCCUUUGUAGGACCUCCACACAUGUUCUCAGGCACAUUUGUGGGAGAACAUGGAGAGAAUUGCCAGAGAGAAGAAAGCCUUCAUAGCUCAUAGAGUUAU